rnacentral:rRNA from 1 species
AGUGAACGCUGGCGGUAGGCCUAACACAUGCAAGUCGAACGGCAGCACAGUAAGAGCUUGCUCUUACGGGUGGCGAGUGGCGGACGGGUGAGGAAUACAUCUGAAUCUACUUUUUCGUGGGGGAUAACGUAGGGAAACUUACGCUAAUACCGCAUACGACCUACGGGUGAAAGCAGGGGAUCUUCGGACCUUGCGCGAUUGAAUGAGCCGAUGUCGGAUUAGCUAGUUGGCGGGGUAAAGGCCCACCAAGGCGACGAUCCGUAGCUGGUCUGAGAGGAUGAUCAGCCACACUGGAACUGAGACACGGUCCAGACUCCUACGGGAGGCAGCAGUGGGGAAUAUUGGACAAUGGGCGCAAGCCUGAUCCAGCCAUACCGCGUUGGUGAAGAAGGCCUUCGGGUUGUAAAGCCCUUUUGUUGGGAAAGAAAAGCAGCAGGUUAAUACCCCGCUGUUCUGACGGUACCCAAAGAAUAAGCACCGGCUAACUUCGUG